GACCCUCUGAAGUUACAGUUGAGGAUACAAUGUAUGCCAGGAGUUUCUUCAUGGGCCCUAUUCCAGUUCUCACCUGCCUGUCACUUCACCCCAGGGCAAAGAGUUUAUUACAUUUUGUUCAAUGUUUAUAACGACUCUCCAUGGGAAGGGUAGUCCAAUAGAAGAGCAUGAAAAAGACACACAUACAAGAGUAUGGAAUGACCGCGUAUAUCCAAAGCUGUUUCAUUGCAGUGUCUGUCCAUGGUGUGUACCACUCAGAUAUCCCUUCAAAAGGACCUACUAUUUCAGGAAAACUGGGAGUCUCCAACUGUUGUACACCUUCAGAUUCUCCAUGGGGCUUAAGAUGAGGCCAAACUUCAUCCACCCUGUUGCCAAUGACUGAGCAUGUCAAGGGUACGAAAGAUGGACUCCUUCUGCCCAGUAUUCCACCUCUAUAAUGAGAAAUCAUUUUCAGGAUCUCUCUGUCAAUUUUCUGAGAGUAGUUCUAUAACAUGAGCCCUUCCUAUCUCUGCCUCCUCCUUUCUGUUUCCUUUUUUCCCCCCUGUAGAUGUUAGACCUGCAUCAUGUUGUGAAGGCUCUUUCUACUACUCUUGAUCACUCCGUCUUUAACCUCAACAGGAUUUUACCACAAUAAAGCUUACUUGUGCCUAAUUA